AGUCUGACGAGCACGCCGCGUGAGUGAAGAAGGUUUUCGGAUCGUAAAACUCUGUUGUUAGAGAAGAACAAGGACGUUAGUAACUGAACGUCCCCUGACGGUAUCUAACCAGAAAGCCACGGCUAACUACGUGCCAGCAGCCGCGGUAAUACGUAGGUGGCAAGCGUUGUCCGGAUUUAUUGGGCGUAAAGCGAGCGCAGGCGGUUUCUUAAGUCUGAUGUGAAAGCCCCCGGCUCAACCGGGGAGGGUCAUUGGAAACUGGGAGACUUGAGUGCAGAAGAGGAGAGUGGAAUUCCAUGUGUAGCGGUGAAAUGCGUAGAUAUAUGGAGGAACACCAGUGGCGAAGGCGGCUCUCUGGUCUGUAACUGACGCUGAGGCUCGAAAGCGUGGGGAGCAAACAGGAUUAGAUACCCUGGUAGUCCACGCCGUAAACGAUGAGUGCUAAGUGUUGGAGGGUUUCCGCCCUUCAGUGCUGCAGCAAACGCAUUAAGCACUCCGCCUGGGGAGUACGACCGCAAGGUUGAAACUCAAAGAAUUUGACGGA
rnacentral:rRNA from 1 species